rnacentral:rRNA from 1 species
GACGAACGCUGGCGGCGUGCUUAACACAUGCAAGUCGAACGGAAAGGCCCUGCUUGCAGGGUACUCGAGUGGCGAACGGGUGAGUAACACGUGGGUGAUCUGCCCUGCACUUCGGGAUAAGCCUGGGAAACUGGGUCUAAUACCGGAUAGGAGCCAUUUUUAGUGUGAUGGUUGGAAAGUUUUUUCGGUGUAGGAUGAGCUCGCGGCCUAUCAGCUUGUUGGUGGGGUAAUGGCCUACCAAGGCGGCGACGGGUAGCCGGCCUGAGAGGGUGGACGGCCACAUUGGGACUGAGAGACGGCACAGACUCCGACGGGAGGCAGCAGUGGGGAAUAUUGCACAAUGGGCGCAAGCCUGAUGCAGCGACGCCGCGUGGGGGAUGACGGCCUUCGGGUUGUAAACUCCUUUCGCUAGGGACGAAGCUUUUUGUGACGGUACCUAGAUAAGAAGCACCGGCUAACUACGUG